AUGUUGCCCUGCAAGGAAACCAGCAGCAGCACAGAUGGCUGCAGGGGCAGUGAUGAGGAAGGUGAAGCGGUGCAGUCUCUACUCUGCUCCCCACCAAAAGAUGCAGCUCCCGAGGCUCCAGCUUGGCCGGUGAACCCAGAGAUGUGCAGGAGCUCUGUCUGCCGGGACACGGCCCCGGAGGAGCCCUGUGGCUGUCCCUGGUCCCGGGUGGCAGCACAGAUGGGCAUCUCCAGCAGCCCGAAUUCCAGCUCCUGGCUCUGCCAUCCCGGUGACGGCAGCACAUCUGCAUAAGGAGCCACUGGGUGAGUAAUACCUGCCUCUGCAGACACAGAUCCUGCAAACACUUUGUGGUAAAGCUGCUGCUGCUCUGGGAAGGGAGGAUGCACUUUACUCCGAAAGCAGAGGAUGAAAGACUCUGUGGCAACGGCUUCUCUUUGAAAGGGCUGAGCCCAAUCCUCUGCAGAAGCAGCUGUUUGUUAUCAAAUCUCUGAUCUCCAGAGCAUUAAUGCCCUGCCUGUAGCGAAGGCAGCCAGCACACACUGCAGCCUCGCAGCCUUCUGCUGAGCAUCUCAGCCUCACUCCAGCAAUGCUGCUGCUAACUGCAGUGAAACUGAGGAUUGAAGGGAUUCACCUCUUUCAGUCUCCUGUCAGGUAGGUCAGGAUGGUGCACAGUGACAGGAACAUCUGAAAUGGCUGCAUUUGCCCAAAUCCUGAGCUACAGGUGUGCAGCGAGGCAGACCUGUGCCUGUCAGCACAGAACUGUCUAAAAAUUAACCACAUUAGCACCUUCCCUAUCUGUCAGCAGAUAAGAGCAUUACCUCAGAGACAGGCGGGGGAUAUUGCUGAUAGACUGAACCUGGGUGCUGGGUAACUCCUGACUUUGACCUUGGCCACUUAUAGCACCGGAGCAAAAUUCUGCAUGCUUCUGUUUGCUUACAUGGAGAUAAGGAUACUACCCUCUGGAUUAAAAGUGUCAUUAGAGGCACAUUAUGAUUAUAAUUAUUAUUUUACAAGCUGAAAAUAGUGCGCAGAAGCUGGCAGGGCUGCUGCUGAGGUUCUUCAAGGAGUGUGUGCCUUUGCAAAAGGCCGGAAGAAACUGUACAGGAGGAUUUUCUCAUACAUAAGCUGAGGAAAAGGAUUAUCUGUGAAACAGCUAACAGUUUUUAUUUACUGUGAAAAUCUGAGUCUCACUCUCAAUUUCCCAUCAAGAUAAAAUGCAGGCAUUUGGUUAAAAUGGUAACUUAAUGCUCCAGAGGUUUAAUUACCACCACUCUAUAAUCAAAAUCAACACAGAGUGCAAGCUGUAGCUCCCAACUACAACAAGAAAUGCAGCUUCCCACAAAGCAGUCAAUAAAAAGAAGAUAUAUAACAUGUGCUUGGAUUUUGUGGUCCUUCCCACAGCUGAACUUGCAAAUCUGCUAUUGCUAAUGGUUUUCUUUCAAACCCCAGGUUCUCUCUUAGCUUUUAUCAAGCUCCAGAGCUCCUUAUUUCUACAUUUUAAUUUUGUCUGUGUAUAAUAUCUAUAUACAAGGUAUUGAAUUAAGGGAGUUUGCAGUGCUGGAAGCUAAAUUUCAAAUUUUUUUUUCUUGUACCAAAAGAAAGCCCUGAACUAAUCUCAAUAGUAGUUAUUACUGAAACUUUAUAAGGGCCUUUGUUGGAAAAAGUGUCAUGAAAGCAGGGAUGUCUUCUGGGCUGAGGC
ensembl:lncRNA